AGCGAACGCUGGCGGCAGGCCUAACACAUGCAAGUCGAACGAAGUCUUCGGACUUAGUGGCGGACGGGUGAGUAACACGUGGGAACGUGCCUUUAGGUUCGGAAUAACUCAGGGAAACUUGUGCUAAUACCGAAUGUGCCCUUCGGGGGAAAGGUUUAUCGCCUUUAGAGCGGCCCGCGUCUGAUUAGCUAGUUGGCGGGGUAAUGGCCAACCAAGGCUACGACCAGUAGAUGGUCUGGGAGGAUAACCAGCCACAUUGGGACUGAGACACGGCCCAAGCUCCUACGGGAGGCAGCAGUGGGGAAUCUUGCGCAAUGGGCGAAAGCCUGACGCAGCCAUGCCGCGUGGAUGAUGAAGGCCUUAGGGUUGUAAAGCUCUUUCACCGGGGACGAUAAUGACGGUACCCGGAGAAGAAGCCCCGGCUAACUUCGUGCCAGCCGCCGCAGUAAGAC
rnacentral:rRNA from 1 species